rfam:Oryza sativa Japonica Group DNA, chromosome 2, cultivar: Nipponbare, complete sequence.
GAAAAGAUAAAUCGUGGAUUUCCGUGUCCAACGUUUAACUAUCCGUCUUAUAUGAAUUUUUUUAUAAUUAGUAUUUUUCAUUGUUGUUAGAUGAUAAAAUAUGAUUAAUACUUUAUGCGUGACUUGUCUUUUUAAUUUUUUUCAUUUUUUUAAAUAAGACGGACGGUCAAACGUUGUGCACGACAACUCAUGGUUUGUCUUUUU